rnacentral:rRNA from 1 species
UACGGAGGGGGCUAGCGUUGUUCGGAAUUACUGGGCGUAAAGCGUGCGCAGGCGGUUUUGUAAGCCAGAUGUGAAAUCCCCGGGCUUAACCUGGGAAUGGCAUUUGGGACUGCAAGGCUGGAGUGCGGCAGAGGAGACUGGAAUUCCUGGUGUAGCAGUGAAAUGCGUAGAUAUCAGGAGGAAUACCGAUGGCGAAGGCAGGUCUCUGGGCUGACACUGACGCUCAUGCACGAAAGCGUGGGGAGCAAA